GCCAGGAUGGUGUAGUGGUUUGAGUGUUGGACUAUGACUCUGAAGACCAGGGUUCAAUUCCCACUUGGCC
rnacentral:tRNA from 1 species